GAAAUGCGAUAAGUAAUGUGAAUUGCAGAAUUCAGUGAAUCAUCGAAUCUUUGAACGCACCUUGCGCUCCUUGGUAUUCCGAGGAGCAUGCCUGUUUGAGUGUCAUUAAAUUCUCAACCCUUCCAGCUUUUGUGGCUGGUCGUGGCUUGGAUGUGGGGGUUGUGCAGGUCUCUCUGUGAGAUCAGCUCCCCUGAAAUGCAUUAGCGGAACCGUUUGCGAUCCGUCACCGGUGUGAUAAUUAUCUACGCCAACGACUUGUGAACGCUCUCUGUUUUGUUCUGCUUCCAACUGCCCUGCAAAGGACAACCAUUUUGAAAUUUUGACCUCAAAUCAGGUAGGACUACCCGCUGAACUUAA
rnacentral:misc_RNA from 1 species